CCUACGGGGGGCAGCAGUGGGGAAUAUUGGACAAUGGGGGAAACCCUGAUCCAGCGACGCCGCGUGAGUGAAGAAGUAUUUCGGUAUGUAAAGCUCUAUCAGCAGGGAAGAAAUACUGACCUUACGGUCAGCAGACGGUACCUGAGUAAGAAGCCCCGGCUAACUACGUGCCAGCAGCCGCGGUAAUACGUAGGGGGCAAGCGUUAUCCGGAUUUACUGGGUGUAAAGGGAGCGUAGACGGCAGUGCAAGUCUGGAGUGAAAGGCGGGGGCUCAACCCCCGGACUGCUCUGGAAACUGUACGGCU
rnacentral:rRNA from 1 species